AGACCAGUAAUUCCCUCGUCUCUGAUCUGUAGAAUACAAAGACGACGAGGCCCUGAUAUCUAAGAACUCCUCUGUCAUCAUCAGAAGAAUACCCAUCGGAGGAGUCAAGGCUUCAAGCAAGAUGUAUAACAUUGAGCGUUUUUCAGAACCGAAUCACUUCCCCGUUCAGAACCUCCCCGUCGGAUCCUCCAAAGGAGAUCGUUCUUCAGAACACAGUCACUUUUCCAUCGGAUCCUCUAAAGGAAUUGAUGAUCAUGCUUCAUCUAUAUCACUGGCCCAACUUUCAAAGUCUGAAGGACACUUGCUGCUGCUUACACUCGUACGUUACACACACACACUCGUACGUUACACACACACACUCGUACGUUACACACACACACACACACACACUCGUUCAUUACACACACACACACAGUCGUUCGUUACACACACACACACAUUCGUACGUUACACACACACACACACAUUCGUACGUUACACACACACACACACACUCGUACGUUACACACACACUCGUUCCCGAACACGCAUCCUGAAGAAUGAAGUGUUCACCUCGUUUUUUCCCCCCCUUCUCUCUCUAAAUGAAGACUCACCGGGUUGUGUUUUAUUAUGACCUUUCACCCCUAGGACACUAAUUUAUAAACAAACCUGUUAUCAAUCUUGAUUUCAAAACUUAUUGAAGCCAUGUAACAACUUGUCAAAUCCUCUCUACUGCUUUUUUCACUGUGUUGUUGAAGAGAUUUUAUGUCGCUCUGGAUAAGAGCGUCUGCUAAAUGACUUAAAUGUAAAUGUAAAUUUUCCUUUUUAUACAUAUAUUAACAUUUAGCAGAUGUCAUUCAUCCUCAAAUAUAGUUCUUGUUUUAUCCUCAAAUAUGUGUGUGUGUGUGUGUGUGUUUCUGUGUAUGUUGUGUGUGUGUUUCUGUGUAUGUUGUGUGUGUGUGUAUGUUUCUGUGUAUGU